rnacentral:rRNA from 1 species
GUGCCAGCAGCCGCGGUAAUACGUAGGGUGCAAGCGUUAAUCGGAAUUACUGGGCGUAAAGCGUGCGCAGGCGGUUUGCUAAGACAGAUGUGAAAUCCCCGGGCUUAACCUGGGAACUGCAUUUGUGACUGGCAGGCUAGAGUAUGGCAGAGGGGGGUAGAAUUCCACGUGUAGCAGUGAAAUGCGUAGAGAUGUGGAGGAAUACCGAUGGCGAAGGCAGCCCCCUGGGCCAAUACUGACGCUCAUGCACGAAAGCGUGGGGAGCAAACAGGAUUAGAUACCCUGGUAGUCC